AUCGUUCAGAGCUUUUCGUCGCCACCGCUGCACAGCAGAGAGAGAGAGCAAAACAACAAAAACAUGUUUAAAAGCACCAACAAAAAGAAGAAAACCAGCCCCCCAUUUUAUUGCGUGUAUUGUGGUUGUUUUUGUGAGAAUUUAAAAAUAGACAGCCUGAUUUUAUGUCCAUGUAUUCGUUGUCCGUGGGAGUUCACUAUGAGUGUGUGUGUGUAUGUAUGGGGGAACACGCCUUAAAAUUUUGCGCAUAAACAGAGGGUAUCCAUUGAGAACAUUCGCUUAUCAGUGCUUCCGCCCUUCCCAUGAGGCCGCUCUUUUUAUACCCUUGAAGAAGGGGGAAUUAUUAUUUUCAGCAAUUCGGCAAAAGUGCUUUAAAAAUCACGUGCAGAAAGAUAUUAGGGAAUCCAGUUGUUACACUGCCCAACUUUGCCCAUAAAAAUCUCACGUAGACAGGUGCCAAAGAUUUCCGGAAUGAAAAAAUUAAAACGUAGUUAGAUAUCGGAACAAUAGAUACGUACGCCUGCACAUGCGACUCUUAAAAGGUGUUUCAACUCGCCGUAUGUCCAAUCACUUCAUAUGGAGGUCACUGAGGUCCAUUCCGUGUAUAUCCGCUUCUGCUUAUACAAAGAAGGCUAAUUAAAAAGAUAGACAAUACGAGACUGUACCUCUCUUGGGCUGGACUGGACUGACUCACAAAAAAAAGUUAAGCAGGUGGUCGCUGCGUUUUGGAUAUAAAGACAAAUAAGGCAAAGAAAAAACAUCGGUUGUAUUUGUGUGAAAAACUGAGGCGCAAUAAUGGAUCUCAGGUGUGCGAGAAGGGAGGAAGGAGUGCUGGCUGCUGUUUUUGUUGUCUGUACAAUCAUCAUAUGACUAAUUAUGCCAAUUGCCACAACCUCCAGGGUACAGAUUACCUCAGAGGCCGACAAUUCCUGAUAGAACACGGGCAAGGUCGCUUAUCAGAUAUGGCUGGUGGUUUACAAAUAGCAUAUCCGUACGGCUUUGCUUUAAUCAAUGGGAACCAUUUAGUUCUGACACAAGCUCAAUUGAGCAAUCAAAACCCUGUGUGUGUGUGUGAGUGUGUGUCACAGGGUCAUCUGGCAUUUUGAGAUUGAAACCAGUGCUGCCAGAUUUUUAAGAGUCACCAAAAGCUAGAUUGCAUUGGAGGCAAUAUGUUUUUUAGCGACAGCAUGCUGCCGGAAUUCGCACAACUUGGCCCCAAUUUUUGCCUUGUAAAAACAGCAGUACGAUUUUUGUCGGAUUAGUUGGCACAUUGCGUAGCCACUCCUUAAAUUCAUUUUUUGUAUGUAAUGUGCAAACAUGUGCAAUACUGUAGUGUGACUAAAAUAAUGUAUCAACGUAUAUCCAUACAUUUAUACACAAAAUUGGAUGAUAUACCAAAAUACGAACAAGAAAUAUGAUUUUUGUCCGAUUUCUCGCUAAAAAUCAACAAAUAUUACAUUUACAAAAAUCAAAAAACAGAAAUUGUUUUGUACUAAAUUAUUUUUAACCAAAAUAAGCUAAAGUGGCAACACUGAUUGAAACAGCGCUGCUUUGGCUACACCAUCUACGUCACGUCGGCAAUCAGCUGUCGGCCCAAAAGGGCACGAGGGUCGGCGGCACGUAGGCCACAAAGUGGUAAGGGGAGAGAAAAAAAAAUAGAAGAGAGGGCAGAGAGCAGAGAGCGAAAGAGAGAGAGAGAACGUGGGAGUGCGUGACAGAAAGUCCACUUGCUGGCCUUGCCCAAGGUGUAGUUAUGUAAGAGAAAUUCAAGCAAACUAAAUCAGAGAAACAGCUGCGCAAGGACUGUCCCUUCUGCAAGGAGCACAAGAAGCGGCCACUCAUCAAUUACAUGC